AUUGAACGCUGGCGGCAUGCUUUACACAUGCAAGUCGAGCGGUAACAGGCCUUCGGGUGCUGACGAGUGGCGAACGGGUGAGUAAUGCAUCGGAACGUACCCAGAGGUGGGGGAUAACGCAGCGAAAGCUGUGCUAAUAUCGCAUGUGAUCUGAGGAUGAAAGCGGGGGACCGAGCAGCAAUGUUUGGCCUCGCGCCUUUGGAGCGGCCGAUGUCGGAUUAGCUAGUUGGUGGGGUAAAGGCCUACCAAGGCGACGAUCCGUAGCUGGUCUGAGAGGACGACCAGCCACACUGGGACUGAGACACGGCCCAGACUCCUACGGGAGGCAGCAGUGGGGAAUUUUGGACAAUGGGCGCAAGCCUGAUCCAGCAAUGCCGCGUGCGGGAAGAAGGCCUUCGGGUUGUAAACCGCUUUUGGCAGGAACGAAACGGUGUCCGCUAAUACCGGGCGCUAAUGACGGUACCUGCAGAAUAAGCACCGGCUAACUACGUG
rnacentral:rRNA from 1 species